CUGGGCACUAUAGGAGCUGACAAUGCCAAUGGACACAAAGACCCAAGAGUCUCUGCGAGCGAAGGACCAGAGGACGAGCAGCUGAAGGGGAAUUUAACCAAAGGAGCCUGCGGGACGCUGGGCUCUUUGACUCCAGGAAAUCUCUAGGGAGCUAGAAACACCCCGCAGCUGGAGGUGAAGGUUCUUACUCCAUUUCAAAACUGGAUCCCACCUCCCUUUGACUCGAGGUUAGAAGCAGCCAGCAGCAGGGGACGCAGGAAGUCAUGAGAACCUCCCGGAAGGAAGGGGGAAGUAGGAGAGAAGUGUGCUCCCGGGACACAGCGGUCACACUGGGCUGGAGUGCGGCCCCCACCUGCCCAGCCCUCCCAGGGCGGAGUGGCCCCUGAGCCGGAAGCUGCUGGGUAACGUGCGAGCGGGUCGCAGAGGCAUGGUGGCCGGCAGGGCGAGGCAGACCCCGGGGGCAGGCCGGGCAGACUCAGCUCCGGCCGGCUGCCCUGGUGGGCGUGCGGGGAGCCUUGCGGACACGGGCAGACAGAGGGCAGAGCCCCCCGCGGCGGUCUCUUCAAAACCUGACCUUCCAGACUCUUCUUGUCUGCUGCGUAGACUCCCCAUGUUCGCCCGUGCGCACUGUGCAGACUGUGGAGGAGCUCGUGUGGGGCCUCUUGGCUGCCCUGCAGGCGGAUCCCACGAGGAAGGGACAGUGCGAGCAAAGAAAGCUAUAAUUGGGAAGUCACACAGAGCGUUGGGUGUUGAGGGACGAUCUGCUUCUGUCCAGGACCAUGUUUCCAGCCUCAUAUCUGAGCUUCAGCCGCCCGGACGCACACUGGGUUUCCUGGUAGCCCAUGGAGUACACAAUCUUGAUGGUGCCAUCGGGGUAUUCCCUCCUCUUGAAGCAGGACGUUUGAAUCUCCCUCUGCCCGUUGCUGAACACAAUGGUUCUGUCGCCGUUCCUGACGGGGAAGAGUAGCCUGGUACAAAGUCGUCAUCGAUCCCAGAGCAGCUUGGGCUUCUGAACGCCUUUGACCCUUAACUGUUGUCAACCUUCACUUCUGGGUUUUCUACAGUGACUCGGGGUGUCAGACCAGGAAAUGUGGUAAAGAUCCUGACUCCCUCCAUAGUGGCCUCCAUGGACAACGCUGACUUACAACCUGAUGCAAGAGUUGCUGGCAGACAAGAGGCAGCCCAAAUAUAUGUGAGAAAAAUAAAUGUGGUGACAAAUCUGACAACCAAAGAAGAAUUCUACCAUUAAAAUAGUUUUUAGCAAAAAACUACAAAAGCUUGUUUUCGUUUGGUAAUUGAUGGACCGCCCAGAAGAAAUUUGGGGGGCUCUUUGGAACAAGACUUUUGAACACCGAAUUCACGGACUUCCCGGUACUACUCAAUGGACAAGUCUGCUGAUUUGUACGGAUUUACAAGAACGCGUGUGUAACGCACAAGCACAUCUAUAAAAUGGCAGGAAAACGAGGCCUUCGGCUCUGCUCCCGAAAUGCCGAUCAUGGGUAGCAGUUUUGAAGGUACGGGAUGUGCCUCCGAGGACAAUAAUAGGGCCUAGAAUUCCCACGGAGAGAGAAUGAAAUACGGAUCGUCAAAAUACCUUUCUCUUUUGGGAGACCUGAAUUAACCUCCAUCAGUCACCUGAGACGGCACGUGUGAACUAGCAGGUGUAAUGUUCCCUUCUCAAAACCUUGCUGAAGGUCCCUGAGGACAGCAAUUGCUUUGGGGUCCACCUCUCCGCUCACUUGUCGAGUCAGAGCCUAAAGGACAGGUCGUGACAGUAAAGACCCAACGUGACCCAAUGAGAUACACGUGAGCGUCGCUGGAAAGCACGUCGAGGAGAACAUGAAUGCCCCUGGACCGUCCGUGAGGAUCUGUUUAACGAUGACCUUGACUCUCUCAGCACCCGGCAGGUCAGACGCUCUGGAAACACUGCCACGUAUCCAGUAAUGCUAAAUAAAAUAACACGGAAACCCACGUAAACGAGCUCCCACACUCCAGGCAAAGGCCACGCACGCACGGCAGCGGCCGCCGAGAAGCAGACGGAAGGGGAGCCUGAGCACGUGGUCUCCGCAUCCCGGGCUCGGCUCCCGGUGGCUCUGCUGGUGAUCGGAACUCAUCCCUGCUUACAGACGACACACACAGAGGUCGCUCCCCGGACACAAGGAUGAACUAGGAAACACCCACCCCGGGCAAGGGGAGCACACCAGGGAAACUGCCCCUCUUCUGAGCUUCCCAAAGAAUCUGAGUCCAGAUCGCCCCCAGACUAGACACCAGCCUGGAGGAGCCCCUGGAACCUCUGGCAGGAGCAGGCACGGAGCUUUCUGGAUUGGCAGCCCCAAGCCGGGCCCCGCCUGGGGAUGGCCGCCCAAGGCAAG